CUUCUUACCAAGAACUCUCUCACUUGAAGGUGAACAACUUAAAGCCUGAGCUCAGAGAGUUACCCGAAAAGUGAUUUGAGUAUUUAUUGAACUGAAAGAACAAAUUACCUACUUCAGGCGGUGGGAAGCGUAUGGAAAUUAUAUUAGAACUUCAGCAAAGUGCACAGCCGCAUAAUACAGAAGCCGAGACUCAGAUUGACAGGCAAAUAAGCCAGCUCGUGGAAGGGGCCUCUGGGUGGCAGCUCUGGGCUAUUGGGUGUUGGACAACUAUAGGCAAAACUGAAAUGGAACAGGGGCAGAAAAUAGCACAUUUUAACGCUGCGCAACUGUUGCUUUCUCAUGGUCAUUAGGAAUUUUGUUGGGAUAAUCCUCCAAAUGAAUUUGAAGCAUUCUAUUCAAAUGUCUACAGAUGCACGGCUGGUGGUGUGGCUCAGACGGAGCAAGGGUUACAUCAAGGCUGUUCUCUGGACCGUGCAAACAGUCUAGACCAAUGACCUGCAGCAUCAUGCCCUUUGAAGAAGAGGCAAGUUCGGUCAUGAUGAAGAAAAAUCAAGGCGUACCCCUUUUAACAAUAGGGAGCAGCUCGAGGCUGCAAAGAGGUAAGCAGGGGUAAGAAGAAAACGGCAUCUGCUUCCAUGGUUACAGGCCAACUAUGAGAACCUUGCUUUUCAAGGGAGCCUGUUCUCAGGCUCCCUCACGGGGUAUGUCAUGCAUUAUAAGCAAAGGCAGGUUGAGCUGAAAUCCGCAUAGUUAUUUCAGAGUAAAAUGAUACGGAGCACAUGGCUGGCAGAAAAAAAAAAAGUCACAUGACUAUUAAGAACCAGACUUGGGCUAUUUCAGAAUAGAAUUUUUUUUUCUUAAACCAGUUUAAGAAAAGACAGUAAAUUUGUAUAAAAUGAAGAGCCAC
rnacentral:lncRNA from 1 species